GGGWGAAGUCGUAACAAGGUAGCCGUAGGGGUAACCUGCGGCUGGUAUCACCUCCUUUCUAAGGAUGCUUCUCCAGGCCGUCUNUCACGCAGNACUGUCUAUUGAGGCUCCGAUUUAGCGGAGCGCUUCACAGCGCCGAGCACUAUGCGGAAUGCCGCCGUCUCCGUUUCUCUUUCCACUUUCGUCAUCGACGCAUCGACCAUACGGGUUGAUGUAUUGGUGACGCGAUCGCGAGCCUGGGUCUCUUGACCUGGCUGUCGCUGCCAUAGGCCCGUAGCUCANGUGGUUAGAGCGUACGCCUGAUAAGCGUAAGGUCGGCAGUUCGAGUCUGCCNNGGCCUACCAACUGAUGCNGGUUGCUGGGGUUGGCCUUCAGCCCACAGGCAGUUAUCGUAUGACACCUCUUCCUGGGCUUUGUACCAUUUUCCUGUUGGGAAUGGGGGCCAUAGCU
rnacentral:misc_RNA from 1 species